UACGUAGGUGGCAAGCGUUGUCCGGAAUUAUUGGGCGUAAAGAGCGUGUAGGCGGCCUGACAGGUCUGCUGUGAAAACUCGAGGCUCAACCUCGAGAUGUCGGCGGAAACCAUUUGGCUAGAGUCCGGAAGAGGAAAGUGGAAUUCCUGGUGUAGCGGUGAAAUGCGCAGAUAUCAGGAAGAACACCCGUGGCGAAGGCGGCUUUCUGGGACGGUACUGACGCUGAGACGCGAAAGCGUGGGGAGCGAACAGG
rnacentral:rRNA from 1 species